AUGGAGAAUCCGGUGGAGGAGCCGAUCUCCAGGCUCACCCGCGACCUAAUCGCGGAGAUCCUCUCCCGCGUGCCCUACAAAUCUCUCUGCAUCUGCAAGUGCGUCUGCCCGGCCUGGCGCGACCUCAUCGCCGACCCCGUGUACAGGAAGAAGAUUCUGCAGUCCCUGGCCGGCUUCUUCUACCGCAUCAACGACGAAGCCGCGGCCGAGCCCCGCGGCUUCCCCGGCGUCAACUACGCCGACCUGUCCGCCUUCCCGUGGGCGAGCGUCCCCAGGACCCACCCGCGGCUACCGCUGCCGCCCGACAGCACGGACCGCGUCAUGUCCGUCGAUGAUUCCUGCGAUGGACUGUUUCUUGCCCGCAUUUCUAUUGGGGCUGGCAAUUUUCGCUACAUGGUCUCCAAUCCAGCCAGCGGUGAGUACACUCUGCUGCCCCACAAUGGCCACGCCGGCACCAACAGCAUUGCUUACCUGGGUUUCGACAGUGGUGCGUCCACUCAAGAGUUCCAUGUGUUUGAGUUUCUACACGAAUGGUCACACCGGAACUGGGGCUCAAACAAAUCCCUGUUUGUGAGAGCAGUGAGGAUUUACUCCUCAAAAACUGGUGCAUGGGUGGCAAUGGAACCCCAAUGGGACAUCGAAGUCGGCUUGUGCUUUGAUCAGCCUGGAGUUUUCUGUAAUGGGUGUUUGCACUUGCUCACAUAUCAGUCCGGGCUGGCGAUAGUUGAUGCACAAGGGGUAAAAUGGAGAACCGUCCUGCUGCCAAUACUCGCUGCUAAGGGUUUCUCAGGUUUCAUCGGGAAGUCUGCCGGACAGCUACUUUAUAUCGACCCCCGUGAUAGUCAAGGAUACAGCUCAAACAGAUCUUUGACUAUAUCAGUUUACGUUCUUAGUGUUGAGAUUUAUAACUGGGAAGUGUCCCACCUGGACGACGAAUGCGUGUACUGGAAUAUGUUGCGCAAGUUUUCAAAUGCAGUUCCAAAGAAGAAGUUUCUCAAAGUCAUUGGUGUACACCCACAUGCCAAUCUGAUCUUCAUGGCUUAUUCAAACAGUGAACUGUUGGCAUACGAUUUGGAUCACCGUGAAAGUACAAUUGUAUAUCACCUUGAUCAUGACUACCGGACAUUUAUGCAAUUUUUCCCAUAUGUGCCACUGCUGUCCUGCCUACCAUUGGAUGGAGGAAUACGGCUGGCAACUCCAAAUUGA
rnacentral:rRNA from 1 species